AGUGAACGCUGGCGGUAGGCCUAGCACAUGCAAGUCGAACGGCAGCACAGUAAGAGCUUGCUCUUACGGGUGGCGAGUGGCGGACGGGUGAGGAAUACAUCGGAAUCUACUUUUUCGUGGGGGAUAAUGUAGGGAAACUUACGCUAAUACCGCAUACGACCUACGGGUGAAAGCAGGGGAUCUUCGGACCUUGCGCGAUUGAAUGAGCCGAUGUCGGAUUAGCUAGUUGGCGGGGUAAAGGCCCACCAAGGCGACGAUCCGUAGCUGGUCUGAGAGGAUGAUCAGCCACACUGGAACUGAGACACGGUCCAGACUCCUACGGGAGGCGGCAGUGGGGAAUAUUGGACAAAGGGCGCAAGCCUGAUCCAGCCAUACCGCGUGGGUGAAGAAGGCCUUCGGGUUGUAAAGCCCUUUUGUUGGGAAAGAAAAGCAGCAGGUUAAUACCCCGCUGUUCUGACGGUACCCAAAGAAUAAGCACCGGCUAACUUCGUG
rnacentral:rRNA from 1 species